CUUUCUUUCUUUUUUAAUAGGGCCGCUCCAACAGCAUAUGGAGGUUCCCAGGCUAGGGGUCGAAUCAGAGCUGUAUCUGCCGGCCUAGGCCAGAGCUACAGCAACACCAGAUGCGAGCCAGUCUGCAGCCUACACCACAGCUCACAGCAACACGGGAUCCUUAACCCACUGAACGAGGCCAGGGAUCAAACCCGCAACCUCAUGGUUCCUAGUUGGAUUUGUUUCUGCUGCACCACAUAGGCAGUCCAUGUGCCUUAGUUUUCUAAUCUGUGAGAUGGGAAUAAUGGAAGCAGCCUCACGGGAUUGCUGAGCCGAUUCCACCUGCGUCAUAGGUUGAAAAAGCACCAGGCAAAUGGCUGGCUGUAUGUUUUAAUGUGUGUCUACCUACGAGUUCCCUUGUGGUGCAGUGAGGUAAGCAUCUGGUGUUGUCACUGCAGCGGCUGGGGUCGCUGCUGUGGCGUGGGUUCGAUCCCUGGCCUGGGCAUAGCCAAAAAUAAUAGUAGUGUGUGUCUAUCUGGAAUCUGGAAGCAUCUCGGCCUGGUCAGAUUUAGUUUUGUAUGUCCGGCAUCCAGCGAUGAGACCUUCAUGAGAUGCAAGAACGGCCGAGGAGUAAAACACUCCCCGGGUGUCCCCACAGUGCCAAGAGCGGGGAGCACGUCCUCUGUGUCUCUGUUCCCUAGGCUCCAGCACAGGGCAGGGCUCAAAGGAGCUGAUCAAAGAAAUUUCACCUGAUGAACGCACGGAGGUCCUUCGGGCUGGGCCCAUCACCCACACCUUACACUCAUUUUCCCUCCACCCCUGUCUCGCCCUCGCCCCAACCUGAACGGCCCUUUUCACCCCCUGACUGCUCUCAUCCCAGGCCCCCUCCUCCCAGAGCCUCCCUGGAUUUACUCCUCUCAGCUUUAUGGUUUCCAGCCCUCCUUGAGAUAUAACUUCGUGAGAGCAACGAGUACGCAAUCUCUUUGGAGACAAAGACCAGGCCUUAUCAAUGCAGGAAAGUCCUUACAAUGACUGGCGCCAAUGCGGGGCGCUCAGCUACACGAUUCUCUAAAACUGCCCUUCCCUAAGGGUGUCCCCGCACAAACUGCUCCUAGCUUGGGUGGCCGCUGCAAAAAAUCCUAUUUUAUCCAGAAUCCUCACAAUGGAGUUUUCUGAAAUACUGGGGUUUUUUUUUUUUUUUUCAUUGUUCUGUUUCUCUCUGGAUGAAAACGCUCAUUCUAACAAACACCAUAUACUUCCUUAACUUCUCAAGCAGAGGAUUUCAAACACGAUUUAUUUGGCCACCUUACGUGCACCAGUCUUCUAACAGGCUGUAAAUACAACUUCAGAUGCAGUGGAACGGGGCCACCUGAUUCAGCUGGUGCCUGGGUGACGGUGUGUGGUCACUGCCCCCAUCAGUUUAAAACUGCUCGGGUUGGCACGCUGCCUCCUGCCCCAGGGACUACGCUGACAUAAGAUGUUGCUGAUCUGUCCUCCCGCCCCCAGGGAGACCCAGAAAGGGCUGCUUUCAAGUCCCAUUCAAUUCUACAGCCAUUCAUGGACACCCCCUCUCCCCCGCCACCUGCCAGGUGCUAAGUGAGAGGGGAUGGGUCCACGUUUGCUGAACAUUGAAACAAACAGAAAAGAGGGCUGAUCAGCAAUAAGAUAAGCUUUUCAACAGCGCUGGGGCAGACGCUGAAGUACCAGGCAGCCUCGCCGUGGUUUAUGUAUUAUUUAUUUACCUAUUAUUUAGUUAUUUAUUAGGCAAUAAAAUCACUUCCUUUAACAGAGAUGUUGACACGGCAGUGAACACACAGGAGGAGCGGCAGCUGGGUCCUGGAAGGCCUCAGAGACACCAGCCCUGCCCUCAAAGCGCUCAGUCUAGCUGGAGUGGGGGGCACCCCAGGAAGAAAGAGAUGGACCGUCCUUCCAGCUGCCCCUUCUCCUCCCUUCUGCCCGGCAAUGGUCACAGCCCAGCCUGGUGGAGUCGGCCACCUCCUGCGGCUGUCGGGCUGCCCGCUGCAGAGGGCGGGCAGGCCAGCGGAUGGAGGCCCUUCGUCUAAGCUUGUGGGGAGACAGUGACCCCAAGGACAGCCAGCCGUGAAAGAGAACUCUCCCGCCUAGCUACCAUCAGCCAUCGCCCAGGCACAAAUUGAGCACCCGCUGUGAACCGAGGCACUGAGUUCCAAGACACCCUGCCCUCCAGGAGUCCCCCAGUCUAGUGAGAGACAGACUCAUCAAAAUAGCACGCAUGUGAUAAAGGAUAUAAUCCAGGAACUUAGGGGAUUCAGUGCUGAGAUGACAGUGGGAAUUAUCUGCUCGGUUUAGGGAGAAGGGUGCGGAAGGCAGGGAGGGGGGAUGUUCGAACUGGGCCUUGAAGGGACCUGAGGGGCUUUGCCAGGCGGCCGAGGAGGAAAGAACGCUGUGGCAGAUGCCUUGGGUUCCUGGACGGGAUUCCCUUCUCCCAGCCCGUCUCCUACAGAAUCCCGACUUCAUUCAGACUUUGGCUUUAGACAGAGACUCUCUGGGCCCAUCUCAACUCAGUGACGUCGGGCGCAAGUGAAACAACAGUAGCAAACACUCGUCUAAGUGUUACAGGCAUUACCCGGUGUCAUCCCCACAACAACCCAAUGAGGUGUGCGCUACUUUUUUUCCCAUUUUACCGAUGGGAAAACUAAGGCACACACUCUGUAUGCGUCAUCACUACACUGGCUCUUCAUUAUGAGAUGCUGAAGGUCCACGGGACAAAAGUGACUUUGGGGAAGGGUCUCAGGGGUGCCUUCGCCUAAACACCAAAGGGUAAAGCCUGAAAGGGGACACUGGCAGGCAUAUCCGAAAUACGCUAAAUUGUCUUUACUGAAAAACCUCCAAUCUUGGAACAUCAACAGGACCAUCAGUCUUUCAUGUUAAAUAAAUUGAAGUGUCACAAGGUUGCUUCUUCGAAAUUGCAUAUUGUUCUAGUACAUCUAGUAUUAAACGUUCUAUAAUAUUUCCAUCACUGAAUGACAGCUAGGCAGCAGCAACGUAAGCGCUCCCGCUGACUCGGGCCUGUCACUUCCACAGUACAUUAUCUUUUAUUUGUCAACAGUAAAUUGUCCACAUGCUCCCUUGGGGUGUAGUGGGGAAGGUAUUAAAAUGAAAUUAGCUGGGCGAUGAAAUCUUAGGAACCAAACAUGUGAUCUCAAAUGUGAAUGCUGUUCAUCUGGGGGACUAUCCUGACAAAUGGCCACGUGUCUUUCUCUGUCUGACUCACUUCACUUAGUAUGAUCAUCUCUAGGUAUCGCUUAUAUGGGAAAUCUUAAAAACAAUGAUGCAAAUGGACUUAUUUACCAAACAGAAACAGGCUCGCAGACUCUGAAAAUAAACUUAUGGUUACCAAAGGGGAUGGGGGCGGGGGAGAUAAAUGAGGAGUUUGAAAUUAACAUAAACACUAUACACACACACACACACAUAUACACACUACUUUUAUUUAUAAAAGAGAGUCAACAAGGACCUACUCUAUACCACAGGGAACUCUACUCAAUAUUCUCUAAAAAUCUGUAUGGGAAAAGAAUCUGAAAAAGAAUGGAUGGAUGGAUGGAUAUGUAUAACUGAAUCACUUUGCUGGACACCUGAAAUUAACACAACAUUGUAACUCAACUAUACUUCAGUAUAAAAUCAAAAUUAAAUUUUUUGGCCACGCCCAUGUCAUGCAGAAGUUUCCAGGCCAGGAAUUGAACCCGUGCCACAGGAGUAACCCAAGCCACAGCAGUGACAACAUCAGAUCCUUAACCUGCUGAGCCACCAGGGAACUCCAUAAAAUAAACAUUAAAUUAAACAAAUGAUAAAGGCACAGAAGGAAAGUUUCCACAGUAUAAUCCCUUGUUAUUUAAAAAGGUAUGGAUGUACGUGAAUACACAGAGAACGUUCUGGAAGGAUAGUUACCAAAAUGUUCUCAUUAGUUAUCACUAUGUAAUGGAGUCAAGGUGCUUUUUCAUUGUAAUCUUUCUAUGCAUCUGCAAUUUUUAAUUUUCUAACAAUAAAACUGUGCUGCUUUCAUAACAUUUUCUUUUAAAAAGGCCAUGUGUCACUUGUAUGGCUGAACAACCUUCCACCAAUAAGCGCCUUCUAGGGAAAACCCAUUUAUAAAGUCCACUUACAGAUACAGCGCUAUUCCGAGCACAAAAAUGUCCAGUGCCACGUCCCACUUUAUUCUCCAAAGAACCUGGUAGGUGCAUCCUGUUAUUAUUCUCAUUGUACAGGUUCACGAGACUGAGACUCAGGGAGACAAAGAGUCUCGCCCGAGGGCACCCAGUUCUUGAGCUCAUUCCGCUCAUUCCACAAACACGCUCGGCCCCAUCCCAUUCAAAUCUUUAUACACAAACCAGCACUUCCAUGACUACAGGAGCCACAGUCCCAGCACGCUCCCACUGUUCGCACACCAUCUUGCACACAGUCGGCAAGCAGGUCACACCAAACAAGUAUUACACGGCCAGAUAUCUUGUCCGAGGUGGCUGCCGCAGCCACUUCUCACUUUGGGUUUGCCAUGUGCCCACUGCAGGAUCAGCUCUCCCUUCCGGACCGAGGGGGUCCUCCCCCCUGACCUACCUGUGCAGGGCAAGGGAUAAGCACAGCGCUGCUGAGAGGGGGAAUAGGCACCUACUGGUCCUGACCUUAAUCCACAAGGAAUACCCAACAAGCACCUCUCCUCCCCGUGACUCUGAGUCGCUGCUCCACGCAGGUGGUCCCACAGUGCUCUCGCCUGCACCUUUCGGGUCCUCAGAAGAGGCUGCUCUGCCUAGCUGAUGCUCCCUCCUACCUCCAGAAGCCAAAUGGUCCAAAGGAGCGCAAGCUGGACCUCCUCCAUACCGGGGAGAUGCUCCUUCUUCCAAGGCACCAGCACGGUCCAGGCUUUCUUCAGCAGCAAUGACAAAGUGGCACCCUUGCAUCGGCAAACCAGCAAGUGUUUUCAACAACAAAGCAGGUGUGAACACAGGUACAGACCAAUUCAGUCCAUGCAAAUGUUCUAUGUAUGCAUAUACACAGACGUCAGCAACUGAACAAGCUCGUUGUAUACUUUAAAGACUCAAAUAUCUGUAGAUGCCAUUCAAAAUUCAACACUAAGCCUCGCAGAAUUUAUGCAGGAAAGCAGAAUCUCACUCCUGCGCAGCAAAACACAACUGACUGCCUGACUUCUGGGCAAUACUUUUUUCCCCAAUCAACAUGCAGAAGUCUGGCAAUCUUCCCCCAGAUAACUUCGUGACCAUCUCUCGGGUUUUCCUCAUCUGCCUUCCUAGUGAGUCCAUCCCUGAACACCACACACAAAACUAGUCACUGACCAGCAUUUUGUGUGUUGCAUGGCCCCCAACACACACACCCACACCCACAGGUACACACACGUGCGCAGGAAUGGAAGCCCAGGAGGACAGGGAUCUCCGUUUUUCUUCUUAGAUCGCCUACGUCUGCAACAGUGCCUGGUGCACAGCAGACAGUCGAGAAAUAUUCGCCGAGUGACUGUUAUGUGAAAAACCCUGGCUUUCAAAGGUGCAAUACAAUUUCCCCAUACCAACUUGCCAUCUUAUUUCGGAGUGAACAAACGUUUUCAUUUCUUCAGGUUUGCUAAUGCCUUUUUGACUUGGGCAAGACCAUCUUCUUCAAAGAAAGAACUCAGAUGUAUAUUCUAGUUUCUAAGAAAAUUUUAAAAGGUUGUAUCGAUUCAUUAUGGCAAAAUCACGAAUCUAUGCACUCUGUAAAAUUUGCUUAGCUAGUCGUUCCUGCUACUUUGUGUACCUGGAUACACAGGCAUGAAGGAGAGUUUCUACCCGCCCACCCUCUAACACCAGCUUUCCUUUCUAUUGUUCAUUAGAUGUCAGUCCCCCGGUGCAAUGAGUCCACAGCAGUGUGACUUCACCCAUUGACCUUAAAAUCUAGCCUUCAUCCAUAGCAUCACCAACGCCCCGUACACUUGCCCUGCACCAGGAUGGGCUUCUUAGCAGCCGUGGCUUUGGUCUGCACCUGGCAUUUCUGAAACAAGAGAAGACCCCUUCGCACAAGACUCUGCAGGGCAGGGGUCUCUCCCUUGGAGGGUGCAGAGGGGCUCCCAGGACAGCCGUAGCCCCCCUGUGCGUGUCCAGCCUCCGCCCCCACAGCAGGAAGUAUGUAUAUGGCAGUCAGGACAGAGGGUCGCUUAAAAAGCUCUUCAGGGGCUUCUAUUCUCUGCCUCAGCUCAUCCGCAAAGACAACCCCCUUAAGUUCUUCGGGGAAUAUUCUAUUAUAAACACUAGAUGCUUAAAAGCUAUGAUCUUGUUAGUAAUAGCCCCCUUAAACCUUGAGUCAGGAUCUGGCAUCAUCAUAUACACUUUCACAGGCGUGAAUAUUGAUAAAAGGCUCUGAAGUGAUUUUCUCUUGCAUGAAGUAAAGUGAGGCAUCAGCAGAGUAGGAAAGAAAACCUAAGUUCUUAAGUCCCAGGCCAACAAGGGGGAUCCCUCUGACACACACACUCUAAGAAGGUUUGAUUUCUAAUUUUGACCGGUCUAGCCCUCAUCUGAAAAUAAUAUUCCCAUCAGGAAGCUGCAGGUGAGAGAGACUGAGGAUGCGAACAUGCACCUAACCAGGAAAUGGACCUGCCUAAGGCAUGAGGGUGGCUGACUAAUAUAAGUUCAUUUAUUUGCCCAAUAUCUGGGGGGGGGGGUUCCCUGCUUUGUACCUUAGAAAUGAUAUAAAGCUCAUUGUCCAUCGCCGUUGCAAAUGGUUCUGCAAUCACACUAGGGAACCUUAAGCGAUGCCGAGAGAAGUGCCCAAUCACACGCUUUCCAAGUACAGAGGACGGACGUGAACUCCGACUCAUCCUUUCAGACUCCUCU
rnacentral:lncRNA from 1 species